UUACUAAAUACACAACUUUAAAAACACAAAAUGCAGUAUGGAAAUUUCUUAAAAUGAUUUUUGACGUAAGAAUCCCACUUUAACUAAAAGAACUUGUUUCAAAUAGCAAGUAGGUUAAGUUUAAACCAGUAUGUUUCUACUAUAAACCAUUUUCUACAAAUUUUCUCCUGUUCUUAAAUCUGAAAUAUAAAUGAAGGGAAGCUUGCCAAUUUUGGAUAGAAAUGAUCAAUCUGGACGAGCUUAGCAGGAGAUAGUAAAAUUACAGCGCUUCAGUUAGUGUGACAUCUCACGUGAAAAGAAAAUGCCUGAAGAGUCUCUGCACCAGAAAGGCUACGGUGGGGAGCGCUUUCUUCAAUCUACUUUCAGAAGCCGUCAGAAAUGAGCUUUUGAGCAAACAUCACCUGGCAGAACCCAACAUCCCGAGUAAACCCUGCUGCUGUCUGUGAACCUGACGUGACUUUAGGCUUUGAAAAUAAAAAUAAAAAGUCUUUUGCCCCCUGACCAAUAAAAUCAGAAACUUAAUUAAAAUGUCAUCAAGUUCUGUGUGCCAAGUUUGAAAUUUUCUUAAUAACAAUAACUGCAUUUGCAUUCAUUUCCAUCUUCAAAGCCUUUCCUAAACACGAAUUUUUCCAGCUCUUCAAGGGGAACAUCUGCAGAACAAGAGGGUAAAGUGCUAGGAAGCUCAGGUGCAGGCCUGCGGUCACGCACACCUCCCCCUC